UAAAGCCUUUGUGCGCUUCAGGAGGGGCCUGCGGCCGAUUAGCUAGUCGGAGGGGUAACGGCCCACCGAGGCGACGAUCGGUAGCUGGUCUGAGAGGAUGAUCAGCCACACUGGGACUGAGACACGGCCCAGACUCCUACGGGAGGCAGCAGUAAGGAAUCUUCCACAAUGGGCGCAAGCCUGAUGGAGCGACGCCGCGUGCGCGAAGAAGCCCUUCGGGGUGUAAAGCGCUUUUCCCAGGGAUGAAGUUCUGACAGUACCUGGGGAAGAAGCCUCGGCUAACUACGUGCCAGCAGCCGCGGUAAUACGUAGGAGGCAAGCGUUGUCCGGAAUCACUGGGCGUAAAGCGCGUGUAGGUGGUACGACAAGUCUGCUGUGAAAGCGCCUGGCUUAACCGGGCGAGGUCGGCGGAAACUGUCGCACUUGAGUACGGUAGAGGGGGGUGGAAUUCCCGGUGUAGUGGUGAAAUGCGUAGAGAUCGGGAGGAACACCUGUGGCGAAGGCGGCCCCCUGGGCCGCUCCUGACACUGAGACGCGAAGGCGUGGGGAGCGAACGGGAUUAGAUACCCCGGUAGUCCACGCAGUAAACGAUGCAUACUAGGUGUGGGGGGUAUCGAGCCCCUCCGUGCCGCAGCUAACGCAAUAAGUAUGCCGCCUGGGGAGUACGGCCGCAAGGUUAAA
rnacentral:rRNA from 1 species